UACGUAGGGCGCAAGCGUUAUCCGGAAUUAUUGGGCGUAAAGAGCUCGUAGGCGGUUUGUCGCGUCUGCCGUGAAAGUCCGGGGCUCAACUCCGGAUCUGCGGUGGGUACGGGCAGACUAGAGUGAUGUAGGGGAGACUGGAAUUCCUGGUGUAGCGGUGAAAUGCGCAGAUAUCAGGAGGAACACCGAUGGCGAAGGCAGGUCUCUGGGCAUGAACUGACGCUGAGGAGCGAAAGCAUGGGGAGCGAACAGG
rnacentral:rRNA from 1 species